CCCUUGUUUGAUCCUGCUCAGAGCGAACGCUGGCGGCAGGCCUAACACAUGCAAGUCGAACGGACCCUUCGGGGUUAGUGGCGGACGGGUGAGUAACACAUGGGAACGUGCCUUUAGGUUCGGAAUAGCUCCUGGAAACGGGUGGUAAUGCCGAAUGUGCCCUUCGGGGGAAAGAUUUAUCGCCUUUAGAGCGGCCCGCGUCUGAUUAGCUAGUUGGUGAGGUAAUGGCUCACCAAGGCGACGAUCAGUAGCUGGUCUGAGAGGAUGACCAGCCACAUUGGGACUGAGACACGGCCCAAACUCCUACGGGAGGCAGCAGUGGGGAAUCUUGCGCAAUGGGCGAAAGCCUGACGCAGCCAUGCCGCGUGAAUGAUGAAGGUCUUAGGAUUGUAAAAUUCUUUCACCGGGGACGAUAAUGACGGUACCCGGAGAAGAAGCCCCGGCUAACUUCGUGCCAGCAGCCGCGGUAAUACGAAGGGGGCUAGCGUUGCUCGGAAUUACUGGGCGUAAAGGGCGCGUAGGCGGAUCUUUAAGUCAGGGGUGAAAUCCCGGGGCUCAACCCCGGAACUGCCUUUGAUGCUGGAAGUCUUGAGUAUGGUA
rnacentral:rRNA from 1 species